rnacentral:rRNA from 1 species
GACGAACGCUGGCGGCGUGCUUAACACAUGCAAGUCGAACGCUGAAGCUCAGCUUGCUGGGUGGAUGAGUGGCGAACGGGUGAGUAACACGUGAGUAACCUGCCCUCUUCUUUGGGAUAACGCCCGGAAACGGGUGCUAAUACUGGAUAUUCACUGAUUCUCGCAUGGGGGUUGGUGGAAAGGUUUUUUCUGGUGGGGGAUGGGCUCGCGGCCUAUCAGCUUGUUGGUGGGGUGAUGGCCUACCAAGGCUUUGACGGGUAGCCGGCCUGAGAGGGUGACCGGUCACAUUGGGACUGAGAUACGGCCCAGACUCCUACGGGAGGCAGCAGUUGGGAAUAUUGCACAAUGGGCGAAAGCCUGAUGCAGCGACGCCGCGUGAGGGAUGGAGGCCUUCGGGUUGUAAACCUCUUUCGCUCAUGGUCAAGCCGCAGCUUUGGGUUGUGGUGAGGGUAGUGGGUAAAGAAGCGCCGGCUAACUACGUG